rnacentral:misc_RNA from 1 species
GAUGAAGAACGUAGCGAAAUGCGAUAAGUAAUGUGAAUUGCAGAAUUCAGUGAAUCAUCGAAUCUUUGAACGCACCUUGCGCCCUUUGGCCAUUCCGAAGGGCAUUCCUGUUUGAGUAUCAUGAACACCUCAACUCUUCAUGGUUUUCCAUGAUGAGCUUGGACUUUGGGGGUCUUGCUGGCCUGUGGGUCGGCUCCUCUCAAAUGAAUCAGCUUGCCGGUUUUUGGUGGGCAUCACAGGUGUGAUAACUAUCUACGCUUGUGGUUUUCCACCAGGGUAACCUUCAGCAGUGGAGGUUCACUGGAGCUUACAAAUGUCUCUCCUCUGUGAGGACAGCCCUUUGAAUGUUUGAUCUCAAAUCAGGUAGGACUACCCGCUGAACUUAAGCAUAUCAAUAAGCGGAGGA